rnacentral:lncRNA from 10 species
ACACGCGGCCUGGUCAGUUCCCGAGGCCGCCCGGCAGGCAGCGCAGCCUGCGGGGAGGCCCCGCGCUCGACUGUGCGCGCCCCACCGCAGGCAGUGCUAGGGCGUACGACCGGACCCCGACCCUGACCCCGACCUUGACCUCGGGACCCAGGCCGACUCAGGCCUGGCUGAGCCUCCCAGAUUCCCCAGGGAGGCCGAGCAAGACCGGCCCGAGGCAGUCUGGCUCAGGCUCGCUGGGCUGGGGCUGGGCCUGGGUUCUCUGUCCGGCCUCCCGGGAGACGAGAAGGAAGGAUGCCGUGGCAAAGGGAGGGUAGUGCGAAGUUUGAUGCCGAGGGGGGUUACAGAGCCUCUGUCUCAAGAGAAGGCGCACAAGGUGCCACCAAAAAAGCCACUUGUUUCUAGCCAGGCCCCCAACUCAGACCCACCACUGUGUGCACAAACUCUCAAAUCAAAUCUGCCUUCUCUAUCCCCACUUUGCCUUCCAACUGCACAUUGCAAAGAUUUGCAAACAUGUGGCAGGGCUGGAAAUAAACAAGAAGCAUUUAGCAGGCAAAAGGCACUGAUGUGUUUCCACAUUCAUGCUCUCCUUGAAACCUCAACCCACACUACACAGGAAGUUCUGUUAUCCUUAUCUUACACAAUGGGAAACUGAGGCUCGGGGAGAUGGAGCCACACAUGGGCAAUGCUUUCCCUACCACCUCAGUGGCCUCUCGAAACUGCAUGACAUUGGCACAUUGCUUUAUCAUUCUGGAAACCCCCUACCCUCUCUUCUUCCUCCUCCCUAAAUAAAAUUAUUACCAA